rnacentral:rRNA from 1 species
UACGAAGGGGGCUAGCGUUGCUCGGAAUCACUGGGCGUAAAGCGCCCGUAGGCGGAUUGCUAAGUCAGGGGUGAAAUCCUGGAGCUCAACUCCAGAACUGCCUUUGAUACUGGCGAUCUCGAGUCCGGGAGAGGUGAGUGGAACUGCGAGUGUAGAGGUGAAAUUCGUAGAUAUUCGCAAGAACACCAGUGGCGAAGGCGGCUCACUGGCCCGGUACUGACGCUGAGGUGCGAAAGCGUGGGGAGCAAACAGG